ACUCAAAGGAAUAGACGGGGGCCCGCACAAGCGGUGGAGCAUGUGGCUUAAUUCGAUGCAACGCGAAGAACCUUACCAGGGCUUGACAUGGAUCUGCAAGGUGGUGAAAGCCACUCGCUUUCGAAGGUGAUUCACAGGUGGUGCAUGGCUGUCGUCAGCUCGUGUUGUGAAAUGUUGGGUUAAGUCCCGCAACGAGCGCAACCCUCAUGUUUUGUUACCAGCGGGUAAUGCCGGGAACUCGAAACAAACUGCCUCUGUAAAGAGGAGGAAGGUGGGGAUGACGUCAAGUCAUCAUGCCCCUUACGCCCUGGGCUGCACACAUGCUACAAUGGCCGGUACAAAGGGUCGCUAACUCGCGAGAGUAUGCUAAUCCCAAAAAGCCGGUCUCAGUUCGGAUUGGAGUCUGCAACUCGACUCCAUGAAGUCGGAAUCGCUAGUAAACGCCGGUCAGCAAUACGGCGUUGAAUACGUUCCCGGGCCUUGCACACACCGCCCGU
rnacentral:rRNA from 1 species